rnacentral:sRNA from 1 species
GCGCCGCAGCCGCCCGCCCGCCCGCUCAGCGCCCGGCCCCGGGAUGACGGCGGCCCAGGCCGCGGGUGAGGAGGCGCCACCAGGCGUGCGGUCCGUCAAGGUGGUCCUGGUGGGCGACGGCGGCUGCGGGAAGACGUCGCUGCUGAUGGUCUUCGCCGAUGGGGCCUUCCCCGAGAGCUACACCCCCACGGUGUUUGAGCGGUACAUGGUCAACCUGCAAGUGAAAGGCAAACCUGUGCACCUCCACAUCUGGGACACAGCAGGGCAAGAUGACUAUGACCGCCUGCGGCCCCUGUUCUACCCUGAUGCCAGCGUCCUGCUGCUUUGCUUCGAUGUCACCAGCCCGAACAGCUUUGACAACAUCUUUAACCGGUUUCUCACUAGGUGCUGGCUUUGCUGAUUAUCCAUAUCAGAGCUCAGGCUGGGGAGCAAGAGAGUGGUCCACUGAGAGGGCCAGAACUCUCCAGGGCUCACACAUGCCCCCCACACGCCCCCUCGCCCCCCUGCAGUGGUACCCAGAAGUGAAUCAUUUCUGCAAGAAGGUACCCAUCAUCGUCGUGGGCUGCAAGACUGACCUGCGCAAGGACAAAUCACUGGUGAAC